AAAUAGAUACCCCGGUAGUCCACGCCGUAAACGAUGAGUGCUAAGUGUUAGAGGGGUUUCCGCCCUUUUAGUGCUGCAGCUAACGCAUUAAGCACUCCGCCUGGGGAGUACGGUCGCAAGACUGAAACUCAAAGGAAUUGACGGGGGCCCGCACAAGCGGUGGAGCAUGUGGUUUAAUUCGAAGCAACGCGAAGAACCUUACCAGGUCUUGACAUCCCACUGACCGGUAUAGGGAUAUACCUUUCCCUUCGGGGACAGUGGUGACAGGUGGUGCAUGGUUGUCGUCAGCUCGUGUCGUGAGAUGUUGGGUUAAGUCCCGCAACGAGCGCAACCCUUGAUCUUAGUUGCCAGCAUUUAGUUGGGCACUCUAAGGUGACUGCCGGUGACAAACCGGAGGAAGGUGGGGAUGACGUCAAAUCAUCAUGCCCCUUAUGACCUGGGCUACACACGUGCUACAAUGGAUGGUACAAAGGGCUGCAAGACUGCGAAGUCAAGCCAAUCCCAUAAAACCAUUCUCAGUUCGGAUUGCAGGCUG
rnacentral:rRNA from 1 species